rnacentral:rRNA from 1 species
UGCAGUCGAACGGUAACAGGAAGCAGCUUGCUGCUUUGCUGACGAGUGGCGGACGGGUGAGUAAUGUCUGGGAAACUGCCUGAUGGAGGGGGAUAACUACUGGAAACGGUAGCUAAUACCGCAUAACGUCGCAAGACCAAAGAGGGGGACCUUCGGGCCUCUUGCCAUCGGAUGUGCCCAGAUGGGAUUAGCUUGUUGGUGGGGUAACGGCUCACCAAGGCGACGAUCCCUAGCUGGUCUGAGAGGAUGACCAGCCACACUGGAACUGAGACACGGUCCAGACUCCUACGGGAGGCAGCAGUGGGGAAUAUUGCACAAUGGGCGCAAGCCUGAUGCAGCCAUGCCGCGUGUAUGAAGAAGGCCUUCGGGUUGUAAAGUACUUUCAGCGGGGAGGAAGGGAGUAAAGUUAAUACCUUUGCUCAUUGACGUUACCCGCAGAAGAAGCACCGGCUAACUCCGUGCCAGCAGCCGCGGUAAUACGGAGGGUGCAAGCGUUAAUCGGAAUUACUGGGCGUAAAGCGCACGCAGGCGGUUUGUUAAGUCAGAUGUGAAAUCCCCGGGCUCAACCUGGGAACUGCAUCUGAUACUGGCAAGCUUGAGUCUCGUAGAGGGGGGUAGAAUUCCAGGUGUAGCGGUGAAAUGCGUAGAGAUCUGGAGGAAUACCGGUGGCGAAGGCGGCCCCCUGGACAAAGACUGACGCUCAGGUGCGAAAGCGUGGGGAGCAAACAGGAUU